AAGGCCCCCUGGUAAGGCCAGCCAGCCGGAGGACCACCCCGCAGACCACACGCCCAGGGCCUGGCACCGAGGGGGAGGCCCCGAUCAGCAGGUGAAAGCGACACCCUGAUGACACUGGCUAGUUCACCUUCACUCUGGUCAUCGUUUACUGUACCCCGGGGCAGCUCCCGCCUGAGCCCUAUGACCCCAACCGCCGCAGCCUCUGGCUGCCUCACUGGCCCAUCAUUAAUACGUCGAUGGUGAGCGCACUGGUGUACAGCGAGGGGGCUCCACUUCCGAGACCCCUGGAGAGGCCCGUCCUGGUGGAGUUCACCCUGCUGGAGAUGGAGAAGCGAACCAAGCCUGUCUGUGUGUUCUGGAACCAUUCCCUGGCGUAAAUGUGAUGCCGGGAGUUCUGCAUCUUCAUACCAAGAGCAGUGAUGACCUUUUAGCUGGAAUGGCCAGAGGGGUAACGGUGACUAAUGGUGUUAAAGGGAAGGAAAGCUCCUGCCCAUCUGCAGCACCUUCGGCAUCUGCCCCUGCCAUGACCACUGUGGAGAACAAAUCCAAGAUUAGCACAGGGCACCAACUGGACAGAGGCCUCCGGUCAGCCUCACUCUGACUGCAACCCCCUCUCACUGGACAGCAUCACCUGGACACAGAGCCUCACCUAGUCUGUGUCCCAUGGACACAACUUUGCUUUGGACAGUGACACCAAGAAUACUCACCCCUUUACUUAGCCAGACCACAGGCAGCCACCUGGACACAAACAUCUCUCCAGAGUCAGCCUCCACACAGACUCCACAGCAGAACUCCCAGGGAGGCACUGGGGCAUGGCUUCAGAGCACCAGGCAGCGCUCCGCGGUGCCUAGCACCCGCUCAGCCAGGGCAGCCUGCAGCGGAGCUUGGAGCCAGCAGCUUCUCAUCUCUUGGCCUCGGGAAAUGUAGCUGGAGUCAUCAUUUAGCAGAGCACGGUGUCCCUGGGUUGGCCACCCAGCUUAGUUUUAAAAUAAAAUAAUGUAAUCUUGGCCUAAUGGUGGAAUUUCUGACUGCUAGAUGUUCUCCUUCCAUCUGACCAGGGGAUUCAGACACAAUGUAUAGGAUGAGGGUGGGGGCCCUUCUCCCUCUGAGAGGAACCUGGAGAGGCCCGGGUUCUGCUGAGGUAGGAGAGGGUCACUCAGAGGGCUCCCACGGAACAGACAGGCACACUGAGGCCUCAGUGGGAUUAGGGCAGGAAAUGCCCCUCUUGCAAUGGGGGACCACGCCGGGUCACGCACCCACCCCCUCCAGGCUACAUUAGGCUAAGGUCACUCUGUGCAUUAUUUCAUUAUUUCACAUGGAGGGUCGCCCACGGUUGACAGAACCACAGGCUGAGCCCCAGGCCCAUCAGAGCGCAGUGCACAAC
rnacentral:lncRNA from 1 species